rnacentral:rRNA from 1 species
AUUGAACGCUGGCGGCAGGCCUAACACAUGCAAGUCGAACGAGUGGCGGACGGGUGAGUAAUGUCUGGGAAACUGCCCGAUGGAGGGGGAUACCUACUGGAAACGGUAGCUAAUACCGCAUACCAUCGGAUGUGCCCAGAGGGGAUUAGCUAGUAGGGGGGGUAAAGGCUCACCUAGGCGACGAUCCCUAGCUGGUCUGCGAGGAUGACCGGCCACACUGGAACUGAGACACGGUCCAGACUCCGACGGGAGGCAGCAGUGGGGAAUAUUGCACAAUGGGCGCAAGCCUGAUGCAGCCAUGCCGCGUGUAGGAAGAAGGCCUUCGGGUUGUAAAGUACUUUCAGCGGGGAGGCGUUACCCGCAGAAGAAGCACCGGCUAACUUCGUGCCAGCAGCCGCGGUAAUUC